rnacentral:rRNA from 1 species
GACGAACGCUGGCGGCGUGCUUAACACAUGCAAGUCGUACGGUAAGGCCCUUUCGGGGGUACACGAGUGGCGCACGGGUGAGUAACACGUGAGUAACCUGCCCACAACUUUGGGAUAACGCUAGGAAACUGGUGCUAAUACUGGAUAUGUGCUCCUGCUGCAUGGUGGGGGUUGGAAAGCUCCGGCGGUUGUGGAUGGACUCGCGGCCUAUCAGCUUGUUGGUGGGGUAGUGGCCUACCAAGGCGGCGGCGGGUAGCCGGCCUGAGAGGGUGACCGGCCACAUUGGGACUGAGAUACGGCCCAGACUCCUACGGGAGGCAGCAGUGGGGAAUAUUGCACAAUGGGCGCAAGCCUGAUGCAGCAACGCCGCGGGCGGGAGGACGGCCUUCGGGUUGUAAACCGCUUUCAGCAGGGACGAAGCUUUUUGUGACGGUACCUGCAGAAGAAGCACCGGCUAACUACGUG